GGGUUCGUAGCUCUAACGGGAGAGCGUCGCCCUGGCAGGGCGAAGGCUUGGGGUUCAAAUCCCCACGGAUCCA
rnacentral:tRNA from 1 species